GGUGAGAGCAUAUGACAGGCUGUCCUGCUCUGAGUUGUUUUGUUCAUAAAAAAUUAACUGAAUUUUGAAGCCAAGGCUCUGCAAGUAUCUGAUGUCAGGUAUUUUCUGUUGAAACUAAACAUUAAAUUUUAACUUCAACUUUCCAACAAUUGUCAAGGCUAUGGGAAUUGCAAUUUGUGUUUUUGAUAUCGACCACUCCAAAAAUGAAUUUGUUCGCCAAAAAUGUAAGCGUGCGUUUCAAGAUGUCGACCAGGAAAAGAAUAUUAAAAAAGGCGCCUCCCGUUAAACCAACCUCGAGGCGCUUCACAACAACGGAAGGAAACGGACAAGAGAAUAAAAAAACCAUGAACCUAGACUAACAAAGAAAAAAGAAAACGCCUAAACGAACCAAACCAACACCGCACCGUUUAUCGGCAAUUUAAGGCGUAAAAACCCGCCGAUGCAUGACUCACAGGUGCUCAAGUGAUGGCGGUGUCUAGCUAAGCAGUUAAAAGAAGGAAAAAACAAAAUAGUGGUAAAAAGUGUCUUAAAGUUAAAUUCAGCAAAACUUUCAGUGAAGAGGUGAGUUUUGAACGCUUUCAGAAUGUCCGGUGCAGUUAUAGAGAACUACUAGGACAAUUGCAAAGUUACUGUAACAGCAUGGUUAAGAAGAUUGCUGACCUGCAAAACUUAAAGUGCCAGUACAUAAUAAUUAUUACUGUAGUAUUUAGCAGUGUUUGUCAACCUCUUUGAAGCCUCAUUUGGUUCUGGCAUUUUCCAAUUGGUGUCCA